AUGAAUCUGUCUGGAGACAGAGACUCUGUGUACUGGAGCUUGAACAAGUCGGGUAGGUUUACUACUAAAUCCAUGUACAAAUGGCUAGAGAGACCUCUUAGUGGGUGUACCUAUAAAUGGAUUUGGGCCAAACUCCCUCUUAAAAUCCAGAUCUUCCUUUGGCAACUUGCUCAGGAUGCGGUGCUUACCAGGCAAGUGAUGCGUCAGCGAAAAUGGCAAGGGAACCCUGUGUGUUCCUUUUGUCAUCAAAUUGAAACUUCCCGGCACUUACUUUUUGAUUGCUCUGUGGCCAAGGUUGUUUGGCGAUCGAUUGGGGUCACACUUGGGACAGAUUUAUGUCCUCGUAACUACUGGCAGGUUUUUGUUUGGUGUCAUUCUUUCUUGCCGGGAUGUGAAUCGUUCUAUACUGUGGCACUUGGGGCUGUCACUUGGGCCAUCUAG
rnacentral:rRNA from 1 species